CAGCCGCCACGGUAAAACGUAGGGUGCGAGCGUUAAUCGGAAUUACUGGGCGUAAAGCGUGCGCAGGCGGUUCGUUAAGACAGAUGUGAAAUCCCCGGGCUUAACCUGGGAACUGCAUUUGUGACUGGCGAGCUAGAGUAUGGCAGAGGGGGGUAGAAUUCCACGUGUAGCAGUGAAAUGCGUAGAGGUGUGGAGGAACACCGAUGGCGAAGGCAGCCUCCUGGGCCAAUACUGACGCUCAUGCACGAAAGCGUGGGGAGCAAACAGGAUUAGAUACCCCGGUAGUCCCUGUCUCUUAUAA
rnacentral:rRNA from 1 species